GCCUCCUCAAAUUGAGUCAAGGGAGCUUUCUGGACCCUCAUGUCAAUCAGAUCCUGGCUGACCAGCAAGGGACAUUACUAUAACUGUAGGCCAGAUACCUGCCUUCAGCUAAGGACAACUCUUGGGGAGAGACUCAACUGAGAGCCAAGCCUCUGGCAAACAAUACUCCUAGAGCAGCUGGUGCAGUGAGUGCCUCGGCCCUGAAGGGGGAUGCUAGCCAGUGCACUACAGUCCAUCCCUUGUGCACUAAAAUCUGCUUUUUGGUAUAAGAAACAUCUCAUUUGAAACAUGUUCCCUAGGAUUCUUCAGCUCUCUGUGGGAACUUAAAAUAAGUGGAAGGAUUUCUCCCUCUGGGAGCCAGGACCUCUAAACAGCCAGACAGAGUUGCAGGAUCUAUAAGCAUAAAAUUUCCAGGUGAAUCACUGGGAGUGAUGAUUAUUAACUUUGGGGGAUAGACUAGGUCCCUCUCAGAACCACAGAAACUACCAAACAGAGGGACAGGAAGACAUCAAGGAGUCAGCCAGUUCAGGGUGUCCAGUCCUGGUACAGCCACCACUGCGGGUGUGGGCUUCGAGAACCUUUUUGAGACACAAUGAAAGCUAUGGAUCCUCCCACCACACAACUGGAAUUUGCAUUCAAUGUCAAGGCACAUGCAAGACCUCUGAGGGCCAUCCCCAGACUCCUUUGAGGAUCAUGGAACCAGGGCACCCAGAAGGCUGAAAAGCUUUAUUUCCUACCUGCUCUACAAGGAGAUACCAACCCUUUUUGAGGCGCUACUCUAAUUUCUAUUGCGGAGAGUCAGAAAGCUCUGUGGUCUUUAAUUUGCCAGAAAAAUGUGUAAUAUUAAACCAACCUUCAAAUCCCA